UACGUAGGGUGCAAGCGUUAAUCGGAAUUACUGGGCGUAAAGCGUGCGCAGGCGGUUGUGCAAGACAGAUGUGAAAUCCCCGGGCUUAACCUGGGAAUUGCAUUUGUGACUGCACGGCUAGAGUGUGUCAGAGGGGGGUAGAAUUCCACGUGUAGCAGUGAAAUGCGUAGAUAUGUGGAGGAAUACCGAUGGCGAAGGCAGCCCCCUGGGCUAACACUGACGCUGAGGCACGAAAGCGUGGGGAGCAAACAGG
rnacentral:rRNA from 1 species